UAACUCUGAUUGGAGAACCUUCAAAUAAAUCCAUCUUCUCCAUCUUCUCCUAAAAGUGGAUGGAACAUCAUUGCUCUGAAACUGAGACCCCUGAAGAGCUGCAACAACCUCCCUGGUUCCAGCUUGAUCCACUAACUCUGAUUGGAGAACCUUCAAAUAAAUCCAUCUUCUCCAUCUUCUCCUAAAAGGAUACUGGAUCUUGGAAAAUAGGAAUACCCAUUAGGAAUUUUAUGUGUAACUAAUACAACUAACUUAAUAACAAGAUUUGCACAGCUACC